rnacentral:rRNA from 1 species
UACGUAGGUGGCAAGCGUUGUCCGGAUUUACUGGGCGUAAAGAGCGCGCAGGCGGUCGAAUAAGUCGAAUGUGAAAGCCCCCGGCUCAACUGGGGAGGGUCAUUCGAUACUGUUCGACUUGAAGGCAGGAGAGAGAAGCAGAAUUCCCGGUGUAGUGGUGAAAUGCGUAGAGAUCAGGAAGAACAUCGGUGGCGAAGGCGCUCUGCUGGACCAUAACUGACACUCAGGGACGAAAGCUAGGGGAGCGAAUGGG